rnacentral:rRNA from 1 species
CAGCCGCCGCGGGAAUACGGAGGGGGCUAGCGUUGUUCGGAAUUACUGGGCGUAAAGCGCACGUAGGCGGCUUGGUAAGUUAGAGGUGAAAGCCUGGAGCUCAACUCCAGAAUUGCCUUUAAGACUGCCGAGCUAGCAGGUGAGAGAGGUAAGUGGAAUUCCGAGUGUAGAGGUGAAAUUCGUAGAUAUUCGGAAGAACACCAGUGGCGAAGGCGGCUUACUGGCUCAUACUGGACGCUGAGGUGCGAAAGCGUGGGGAGCAAACAGGAUUAGAGACCCCUGUAGUCCCUGUCUCUUAUAC